GCAGAGGUAAUUCAGUGGUAGAAUUCUCACCUUCCACAUGGGAGACCCGGCUUCAGUUCCUGGUCAAUGCA
rnacentral:tRNA from 1 species